UACAGAGGGGGCAAGCGUUAUUCGGAAUUAUUGGGCGUAAAGGGCGCGUAGGCGGCUUGCAAGUGGAAGGUGAAAUCCCUCGGCUCAACUGAGGAACUGCCUUCCAGACUGCUUUGCUUGAGUCCGGGAGAGGUGAGUGGAACUGCGAGUGUAGAGGUGAAAUUCGUAGAUAUUCGCAAGAACACCAGUGGCGAAGGCGGCUCACUGGCCCGGUACUGACGCUGAGGUGCGAAAGCGUGGGGAGCGAACAGG
rnacentral:rRNA from 1 species